UACGUAGGGGGCAAGCGUUGUCCGGAUUUAUUGGGCGUAAAGAGCGUGUAGGCGGUUUGGUAGGUCCGCUGUGAAAACUCGAGGCUCAACCUCGAGACGUCGGUUGAAACCAUCUGGCUAGAGUCCGGAAGAGGAGUGUGGAAUUUCCGGUGUAGCGGUGAAAUGCGCAGAUAUCGGGAAGAACACCCGUGGCGAAGGCGGCACUCUGGGACGGUACUGACGCUGAGACGCGAAAGCGUGGGGAGCGAACAGG
rnacentral:rRNA from 1 species